GCUGUUGUAGAGAAUUGCGUCACAGGACGACACACGCCAGGCUUUUGGUGGGAAUAUGAGUUCGCUUCCACGUAUAUAUAUCUCAAAUUAAAUCCAUCCAUAUAUGUUUUGUAAUGUUGGAUGCAAUACCAACAUGACUGGCUAUGUGUCAAGUACAUAACCGAUUCAGAAUUUGUGCGUAACAUCAUUUUAUGUUUGAUAAAACCACCAGGCUAAUCAGGGAAAGUUCACUCCGCCUAUUGUUUGCUAGCAUGCUAUCACGUUAGCCAACAAUAUAUCUGACUUAAAACAAAGUCAAUUUACUUUAAUUUCCGAGGCUACAUUUACAGCAGCUUAAAUGACAUCUUGUGCUUUAUGUUUUCUUAAUUGGCUAACAUAGCGUUUAGUGGUUACGCAGCGCUCAGUUGGUUUAUUUAACAUCACAUUAGCUAAUUCAACCUGUCAAGAAUCAACAACAUGCCAGAAAUCCAACUCAAACACGUCGUGUCUUGCAGCACCGAGGACACUGCACACAAGGCAGACAACCUGCUGAGCUCUGACACCUACAGAAAGUGGAAAGCAGCAAGAUCUGGGGAGAAGCAGACAUCAGUCAUUCUGCAGUUAGAGAAGCAAG